GGAUGCGAUCCUACCAGCACUAAAGCACCGGAUCCCAUCAAAACUCCGAAGUUAAGCGCGCUUGGACGAGAGUAGUACUAGGAUCUGUGACCUUCUAGGAAGUCCUCGUGUUGCAUCCC
rfam:Oryza punctata chromosome 11, whole genome shotgun sequence.